rnacentral:tRNA from 1 species
GAAAAUAAAGUAUUUUUGUAUAAUUCUUUUACAAAGAAUAGGUCUAAAUAAUUAGUAUUUUCU